ACUCCUACGGGAGGCAGCAGUAGGGAAUCUUCCGCAAUGGGGGCAACCCUGACCGAGCAACGCCGCGUGAGUGAAGAAGGUUUUCGGAUCGUAAAGCUCUGUUGUAAGUCAAGAACGAGUGUGAGAGUGGAAAGUUCACACUGUGACGGUAGCUUACCAGAAAGGGACGGCUAACUACGUGCCAGCAGCCGCGGUAAUAC
rnacentral:rRNA from 1 species